AGUUGGCACGUGUUUGACGUAUGGUACAGCAGCCACUGCUGGCACUUGGGCAGCGGCAUAUCCAAUGUGUUCGGUUUCAACUUUAGCGGGAACACUAUAUGCAAGCUGUGCCUCUUGUCCGAUAUUAUUUAUGACUGCUCUGGAAACGAAAGACAAAACGAUUCAAAACCAGAUUGGAAUCUAGAAAGGUCGUGGACAUGUUAAUUUAUUCCUCAUUCUCACUGGAUUUUAUCUUUAAUUUCGCUUCCUAUACCAUUACUGUAACCUUAAAUCUCUUGUUCCAUUUCAUACUACUACAAGCAUUCUUUUUUGCAGUACUAAGAUUGGUAAAAUGUCGUGAACAAAAUUGUACGAGUACAAAUUCAGUUAUUUAUUAACAACAUCUUGCAAUGCUGAUUCGAAUGAUGCAACAAUAAUGAAAAUUAUAAUCAUAUCGGUGAUCGUCGUUUAAUAAAUAAUGUAGUUCAAUUUCGAAUUACCAAACUCAUUGCAAGCUCUA